UACGUAGGGUGCGAGCGUUGUCCGGAAUUACUGGGCGUAAAGAGCUCGUAGGUGGUUUGUCGCGUUGUCCGUGAAAACUCACAGCUCAACUGUGGGCGUGCGGGCGAUACGGGCAGACUGGAGUACUGCAGGGGAGACUGGAAUUCCUGGUGUAGCGGUGGAAUGCGCAGAUAUCAGGAGGAACACCGGUGGCGAAGGCGGGUCUCUGGGACGGUACUGACGCUGAGGCGCGAAAGCGUGGGGAGCAAACAGG
rnacentral:rRNA from 1 species